rnacentral:misc_RNA from 1 species
CCCAGUCAGUCUUUUCAACCGCCGGUGGAAUCAUCGACUCAGGCACUGUCAUCACCCGGUUGCCACCUGCGGCAUACUCUGCUUUAAGGUCUGCCUUCAGGCAAUUGAUGACCAGGUAUCCGACAGCGCCUGCAGUAUCAAUACUUGACACUUGCUACGAUUUUACCAACUAUAAUACGAUCAGCAUACCAAAGAUUGGCUUUUUCUUUAAUGGUGGAGUUGAGUUGGAUAUUGAUGCUACCGGAAUUCUAUAUGCUAAUAAGGUGUCUCAAGUGUGCUUGGCC